rfam:Schistosoma rodhaini strain Burundi genome assembly, scaffold: SROB_scaffold0005234
AUCCAUCCGAUAAGUCACAAAUAGGACGAAACGCGCGUCCCGGAU